UAAUUAGUCUAGUAGCACGUAAACACUGAUUGGGCCACUAGCAUUCACGUACGUAGAUAGUCGAGUGAUACCCAGACACAUGUAAUGUACGAGUCCAACACAGUCUAGCUCUCAUGUCUCUCUGUCCUCGCUCCCGUCGCACGAACCACUCGCCCCUGUUCCCGCACGCGUUCGUGAUGCAGCCGCCGCUGCCUACUGCCCCGGCCACCGCCGGCCGUCUCCGGCGCUGCCGUUGCCAGGCACAGCCUCCCCGUCUUCUCCUCGCUCGCCUCCACCAACAACCCCCUCUCCUUGAGGCCUCUGGCGCGUGUACUCACCUCCGGGAACCCUAGCUACUGCUGGUCGAUUCGGCCGUCGCCGGGCAUCUCCGGCGCCGCCGUUCGCCGGCGAGGCUCCGCCUCCUCCUGAUCUAUCUUAUGCCCUACUGGAUUUGAUCCCCCGCCCCCAACUCGAAAACCCUAGCCGUUGUCCGUGGUUCCAACUGUCGCCGGCGACCAUUAGCGCCACCGCGUGUCGAUGGUUAACCGCUCCGGCCUUCUUCACCAUCUAACUCCACUUCGACGCCCUCUGAUUCCGCGCUGGACGGAAUCCCCAAUCCCUUCGGGUUGGCUCGCCGUCGGACGCUUCUGACGUCGCUGCUGCUUGGCAUGGCUUCGGCCGCCGCCACGAGGUUCAGCCCCUCCUGUGCGUGCGGCCACGCGAAAUCCAAGCCGGUGUGGCUUAGUUCCGUCGGCAUGGCCCCAGCUGCCACGCCUCCGGCUGCUCGUCUCGUGGACUACCUAAACCUUGACGCCGGCAGGACAGCAUCCUCUGCAACCCCGACGUCAUCGACCCGCAGCUGUUGCGUUGCUAUACUGGUUGUUGGUGAUGAUUUGUGGUGGUGGGGCUGGCAUGAUGGAGCUGCUGUUGCUGCAACACCAGCAACACCAACAUCUCCUUUGGCGUCGGCGGGACGGUGAUGCGAUAGUGGUGGUGGAGCUGCUGAUGAGACGUGGGUGUGGUGAUGUUUCUGGUGGUGGCAUGGUGUUGUGAUGCUGGUGAUUACUUCCUCCUUGACGCCGGUCGGAUGGCGUCUGCGACCGCAACCCCGGCGUCGACUUUGUCUGCAACCCUACAACAUGCGGUGGAUGUGAUCUUGCUGGUAGAUCAUGCACAAGGCUGGCAAGAGGAUCUAUUGAUGUUGUUCUUGAUAUUUGAAUGGAUUUUUGCUAGCGCAAACGAUGGCUAGCUGGGCUGCUGGUGACUAAGGUGAAUAUGAGCAAAGUGUGAUGCGGUUGGCUACUGCUUUGCUUUUGUAGUGCUGGGGUUUGCUGGGGAAGUGACAGCACAUGAUGUGCAUGCAGUGACUGUGCUGCCUGUGUGUGUCCUGUUUCUAGUGACUGUGCUGCCUGUGUGUAUCCAACCUGAUCUUCUUUGCCUCAUAGUGCAAGGCAUACGGUUGGCUUGUGCUUAUCUAGUGCUGCCCUUUAUUUUUGGUACUGCCAAGUGUAUAAUAUAUGUGAGCUAAAUAAGAUCAAGUGUGACUAUUAUGUUAAUUAAGACUUUGCUUAAUUA